GAAGGCAUAGCUCAGUGGUAGAGCACAUGCCUAGCAUGUGUGAGGUCCUGGGUUCAAUUCCCAGUCCCUCCA
rnacentral:tRNA from 1 species